rnacentral:rRNA from 1 species
UACAGAGGUGGCAAGCGUUGUUCGGAAUUACUGGGCGUAAAGGGCGCGUAGGCGGCCUACUAAGUCAGACGUGAAAUCCCCAGGCUUAACUUGGGAACUGCGUCUGAUACUGGGAGGCUUGAGUCCGGGAGAGGUGAGUGGAACUCCGAGUGUAGAGGUGAAAUUCGUAGAUAUUCGGAAGAACACCAGUGGCGAAGGCGGCUCACUGGCCCGGUACUGACGCUGAGGUGCGAAAGCGUGGGGAGCAAACAGG